GCCCAAGUGGCCAAAUGGAUAAGGCAUUGGUCUCCUAAACCAAAGAUUGCGGGUUCGAGUCCCGCUUUGGGUU
rfam:Rhizopus oryzae RA 99-880 supercont3.1 genomic scaffold, whole genome shotgun sequence.